rnacentral:rRNA from 1 species
CCCUUAGAUGUCCGGGGCUGCACGCGCGCUACACUGAAUGAAUCAGCGUGCUAGAAAACCUUGUUUGACAUGGCUAGGUAACCCCAUGAAAAUCAUUCGUGAUUGGGAUCGGGACUUGCAAAUGUGUCCCUUGAACGAGGAAUUCCCAGUAAGUGCGGGUCAUCAGCUCGCGUUGAUUACGUCCCUGCCCUUUGUACACACCGCCCGUCGCUACUACCGAUUGGAUGGUUUAGCGAGAACUUUGGACCGGAGCUCGGGUGGUCAGCAAUGGCCGCCCGAGACAUACUGGGAAAUCGCUCCAGCUUGAUCAUCUAGAGGAAGUAAAAGUCGUAACA